rnacentral:rRNA from 1 species
UACGGAGGGUGCAAGCGUUAUCCGGAUUCACUGGGUUUAAAGGGUGCGUAGGUGGGCAAGUAAGUCAGUGGUGAAAUCUCCGGGCUUAACCCGGAAACUGCCAUUGAUACUAUUUGUCUUGAAUACUGUGGAGGUCAGCGGAAUAUGUCAUGUAGCGGUGAAAUGCUUAGAUAUGACAUAGAACACCAAUUACGAAGGCAGCUCACUACGGAUGUAUUGACACUGAGGCACGAAAGCGUGGGGAUCAAACAGG